GGGGGCUGCGGUGGCCCCGAACCGCGGCGGGGGAGGAGGAGGAGGAGGAGGAGGGAGCCGGGCUCGGUCGCGCGGCCGGGAGGAUGCACAGAUGUUUAAACAGAUUAAUCGAGCUCGGAUUUGCCAAAUCCUCGGUGGAAACGCCGAAGCGCUCCGCCGGUAUCCCACCGCUCGCCUUAAUUAUCCCUGUCAUUUGGCCCGCUCUAACUGAAGCCUCCGCAGAGAGCAGAAAUGACUUCUUUCGAACGAAACGCGAACUGAAUGCAGCCCGCGUUCCGCGGAGCUCCCCGAGCUGCCAUGUUCAACGGAGUUCAACAAUAGAAAACCGCCACAGCCCGAGAAGCCGACCCAGCCCGGCCGAGAGCCGCGUGGGGAUGCCCGGCGCACCGCCGGCCCGUGCUGCCCGUGGCCCAGAGCUUCCAUCGGACAGCCCGCGUGCGGAGCCUCGACAGCGGUUCUUCCCCUUCCCGGCCAGUGGUUUUCCAUUCAAACGAGGAGAAGAGUGUUUCUAUUCAAAAUGCUUUGUAGUUGCUAAUACCUGUACGAAUGAAUGAAUUUAGAAGGAGCUCAGCGCCUUCCCCGCACGUGGAUUCCAAUGGGAUUUAUCAGCUAUCCGUCUCUUUUUGAAGCCUCUUCCCCGCCACUUUCAGGUAGCUGUCCCUUGGAUGAAACUCCAGAUACAGUGGAAAGCGGCACCACCUAACAGCUUGAGCCAAAGCAUCAACAAAGCACACCCGUUUGGAACUACAAGAGAAACUGGAAUAGAUGCGAAGCGCUUACCAAAGACUGGAUGCAGCCAAAGCACUUGUCCUAAAGAAAGGCCAUUGAGGUUUCUAAUAACUACCGGUCAUCCCCACUGCUGCCUUAGAUGCUGUCCAAAAGGUAACUUGGCAAAAAACACGUUGCCAUCGGCAGCACGUAGAGGUGCAGCUUUAGUUCUGAGUAAGGAGGAAGAGUCCCUCCGAUCAAUUAAACUCCUCUGUCCUCUAUUUCUGGUUUUUCCUCUAAUAAUGUCACACGCACUUAUUCCAUUUCAGUUAUGAGAUCAAGCGAGAUCACAUCUAGAGGUUGAACGGUAAUAUAUUAGCUUUCAUAUUCAAUCCUUUCUCUUGUUAAGAAAGAAAAAUUCUCCCUCCACCGUUAUAAAAGGACAGCAAAUCCUUCCCUGCCCAAACGCACUGUGUAAAUAUACAUUUAAUUUUUCUCCUCGCUAACAGAAAUUCUUGCCAUUUUGGAUGGCGCUAAUUCCAUUUUCUCAAGCCAUGAGUCAACCAAGAGUUGAAUGAUUCACCCUGGCAUGGACAUAAUCUCUGGGGAAGUAAUUAAGUGCACGCUGAUCACUCUUGCACAGAAACCCAACACCGGUGGGGCAGCUGUUAAUAUAUAUAUAUAUUUGCCCUUCUUGGGUCACACUCUCAGCUAGCUAAGGGUUUAUGUACAGCAUUAGUUAAACAGCCAACAUCCACAUAGCCGUGCUUUAUGCCAGCUCACAUCCGCACGCAGCCACAUACACAAGCUGUCCCUGCCACCUACAGAUCCUUCUCUCCAGUCCUUCUCCCUCUCUCUCUGCCAAGCUCCUCCAAUGGGACGCAAGUUGGGCCGACUACCAAAAAUCAAACGUAGAAAAAAAUAGAUCAAGAAACAAGAAUAUUAGCUGGCAUUAAUUUCUUCGGUAUAAAUAAAAUCGUACUAUAGCUCGUGGUUUCUUUAUUCAGCAUUUCUGAUGCAAAGAAUUUUCUAUACGGAGAAGUGGAAGGGAACUGACGGUAGGAGAAAGCUGGAAAGAUCCUGCUAAUGAAGGACAAUUGGGUGACAUAACAGUGUCUGUUGUACCUUCCCCUAAAGCACUGCUAUGUCAGAGUACGCUAAAAAGAAGUGCUUUGUAGAAACAGGUCUUCAUGUGAGUACUGAAAUUCACAUUUAACAAGAAUUCUCACAGGAGAGAACUCAAGGUGUUACUCUCUGCAGAAAAUGGAAAUAGUCAAUUGGCUUCACGUUUGUUUCUUCCAGUACUUCUCACCUUCAUUCCAUUUUUUCUUAGAAGCAGUGCAGAAAGGGCUUUAUUAGAUUCCAGAGCAGCAGCUUGGAGAUUUGUGCAAGGACAGCAACAGGCCUUCCCUGCACGGCCUCUGAUCAUUUACGUUCUGGGCUGGGACUUUCAAGGUAAAGCAUACAGCCUAGGCUUUCUACUACCUUGAAGGACCGACGCUCUAAAAAGCCUUAAGGCCUUCUGAUGGGGGAGAACAUUCAGCCUUCUUCAGAGUGAGAUCCCCAUCCAUGCAGCCCAAAGACGAGUGUACAAGUGAAAUCUUAAAAAAACAAAACAAAAAAAAAAAAACCAUGAAGUAAUAGUUUGUUCAGGACAAAAAGAAUUGGGAUGAUCUUAGUGCUUGCCUGAUAUGGCAGCCAGCAGAUUGAAGGUAAGAUGGAGACUGCAAAGAUCAGACACAAGCGUAUCUCACACCAAGCUCAAUUUGUGCUCAUUCCCUCCAAGCAGAUGACCUACGUUGGACAAAUUAUCCCGUGUUCAGCCUUAGGCGAGCUCUAAAGAGGAGAUACUUGUUUUCUAAUCCACAGGAAUGCUAAGAAGAGAAAAAUUGUUCUGCAAUCACUCUUGAGAACAAUAGUAGAAAGCACCAAGACAGAGGUUUCUGAGAAGCAGCUAUUUAAAGUUACAAAGUGUCAAAGAUGAUUUGUAGAGUGUGGAAUAUUAACAUGCAACAGUCCAUUCUGCAUGGCUGAGGAUCUUUGGUCCUCAUGCCAAAGGCAUGUUCUCUUCGUCUCUCUAAGUCAGUAUUUGGAAAGCC
ensembl:lncRNA